rnacentral:rRNA from 1 species
UAGGGAAUUUUCGUCAAUGGGCGCAAGCCUGAACGAGCAAUGCCGCGUGAACGAGGAAGGUCUUCGGAUCGUAAAGUUCUGUUGAAGGGGAAAAAGAGCGGAGAGAGGAAAUGCUUUCUGGACUUGAUAUUACCCUUCGAGGAAGUCACGGCUAACUACGUGCC